CCUACGGGCGGCUGCAGUGGGGAAUAUUGGACAAUGGGCGAAAGCCUGAUCCAGCCAUGCCGCGUGUGUGAAGAAGGCCUUCGGGUUGUAAAGCACUUUCAGUGGGGAAGAAAGCCUUGGGGCUAAUACCCUCGAGGAAGGACAUCACCCACAGAAGAAGCACCGGCUAACUCCGUGCCAGCAGCCGCGGUAAUACGGAGGGUGCGAGCGUUAAUCGGAAUUACUGGGCGUAAAGCGCGCGUAGGCGGUCUGAUAAGCCGGUUGUGAAAGCCCCGGGCUCAACCUGGGAACGGCAUCCGGAACUGUCAGGCUAGAGUGCAGGAGAGGAAGGUAAAAUUCCCGGUUUAGGGGUGAAAUGCGUAGAGAUCGGGAGGAAUACCAGUGGCGAAGGCGGCCUUCUGGACUGACACUGACGCUGAGGUGCGAAAGCGUGGGUAGCAAACAGGAUUAGAAACCCCGGUAUC
rnacentral:rRNA from 1 species